rnacentral:rRNA from 1 species
CAAUAGCGUAUAUUAAAGUUGUUGCGGUUAAAAAGCUCGUAGUUGGAUUUCUGCCGAGGACGACCGGUCCGCCCUCUGGGUGAGUAUCUGGUUCGGCCUGGGCAUCUUCUUGGAGAACGUAUCUGCACUUGACUGUGUGGUGCGGUAUCCAGGACUUUUACUUUGAGGAAAUUAGAGUGUUUCAAGCAGGCACACGCCUUGAAUACAUUAGCAUGGAAUAAUAAGAUAGGACCUUGGUUCUAUUUUGUUGGUUUCUAGAGCUGAGGUAAUGAUUAACAGGGAUAUUUGGGGGCAUUUGUAUUAACCGGUCAGAGGUGGAAUUCUUGGAUUCGGUUACGACAAACUAAUGCGAAAGCAUUUGCCAAGGAUGUUUUCAUUGAUCAAGAACGAAAGUGUGGGGAUCGAAGACGAUCAGAUACCG